CUGGAAAGUUUGACCAUAGUGGGUGACAGUCCCGUAUGCGAAAAUGAUCAAUCAGGACUCGAGUAGGGCGGAACACGUGAAAUUCUGUCUGAACAUGGGGGGACCACCCUCCAAGCCUAAGUACUCCUUACCGACCGAUAGCGAACCAGUACCGUGAGGGAAAGGUGAAAAGUACCCCGGGAGGGGAGUGAAAGAGAACCUGAAACCGUGGACUUACAAGCAGUCACGGCGCCAUACGCGCGUUGUGGCGUGCCUAUUGAAGCAUGAGCCGGCGACUUAGUCCUACCUAGCGAGCUUAAGUCACAGACGAAGGCGGAGCGAAAGCGAGUCCGAACAGGGCGCUUGAGUUAGGUGGGCUAGACUCGAAACCAGGUG
rnacentral:rRNA from 11 species